UCCCAACCCGCGUGCAGGCCCAGGCCC
rnacentral:piRNA from 1 species